rnacentral:rRNA from 1 species
GUCGAGAAUCAUUCACAAUGGGCGCAAGCCUGAUGGUGCGACGCCGCGUGGGGGAGGAAGGUCUUCGGAUUGUAAACCCCUGUCAUGCAGGAGCAAGGCGCAAGCUUGAUAGUACUGCAAGAGGAAGAGACGGCAAACUCUGUGCCAGCAGCCGCGGUAAUACAGAGGUCUCAAGCGUUGUUCGGAAUCACUGGGCGUAAAGGGUACGUAGGCUGCACCAUAAGUCGCGCGUGAAAGGCAGGGGCUCAACCUCUGGAGUGCGCAUGAUACUGUGGUGCUGGAGUAAUGGAGGGGGAACCGGAAUUCUUGGUGUAGCAGUGAAAUGCGUAGAUAUCAAGAAGAAGACCCGAGGCGAAGGCGGGUUCCUGGACAUUAACUGACGCUAAGGUACGAAGGCCGGGGUAGCGAAAGGGAUUAGAAACCCGAGUAGUCC